AGUGGGGAAUUUUCCGCAAUGGGCGAAAGCCUGACGGAGCAACGCCGCGUGAGGGAUGAAGGCCUCUGGGCUGUAAACCUCUUUUAUCAAGGAAGAAGAUCUGACGGUACUUGAGGAAUAAGCCACGGCUAAUUCCGUGCCAGCAGCCGCGGUAAUACGGGAGUGGCAAGCGUUAUCCGGAAUUAUUGGGCGUAAAGCGUCCGCAGGCGGCCCUUCAAGUCUGCUGUUAAAAAGUGGAGCUUAACUCCAUCGUGGCAGUGGAAACUGUUGGGCUAGAGUGUGGUAGGGGCAGAGGGAAUUCCCGGUGUAGCGGUGAAAUGCGUAGAUAUCGGGAAGAACACCAGUGGCGAAGGCGCUCUGCUGGGCCAUAACUGACGCUCAUGGACGAAAGCCAGGGGAGCGAAAGGGAUUAGAUACCCCUGUAGUCCUGGCCGUAAACGAUGAACACUAGGUGUCGGGGGAAUCGACCCCCUCGGUGUCGUAGCCAACGCGUUAAGUGUUCCACCUGGGGAGUACGCACGCAAGUGUG
rnacentral:rRNA from 1 species